AGGCACAUAGCUCAGUUGGUUAGAGCACCACCUUGACAUGGUGGGGGUCGUUGGUUCGAGUCCAAUUGUGCC
rnacentral:tRNA from 1 species